ensembl:snoRNA U3 Small nucleolar RNA U3
AAGACUAUAUUUUCAGGGGUCAUUUCUACAGUAGGUUACUAGAGAAGUUUCUCUGAUCAUGUCAAGUACCAGAAACCACGAGGAGGAGGUGAGUGUUCUCUCCUGAGCAUGAAGUUGGUCCUAGCUAUUGCAUUUCUACAACUGCCUUUUGCCAUUGAUGAUCGUUCUUAAUUCUCUUUAGAGAUUAAGAGGGAGAGAACACAGUCUGAGUGGU